rnacentral:tRNA from 1 species
GCCUGGGUGGCUCAGUUGGUUAAGUGCCUGACUUCGGAUCAGGUCACGAUCUCACGGUUCGUGGGUUCGAGCCCUGCAUCAGGCU